UGGGGAAUAUUGCACAAUGGGCGAAAGCCUGAUGCAGCAACGCCGCGUGAGUGAUGAAGGCCUUCGGGUUGUAAAGCUCUGUCUUUUGGGACGAUAAUGACGGUACCAAAGGAGGAAGCCACGGCUAACUACGUGCCAGCAGCCGCGGUAAUACGUAGGUGGCAAGCGUUGUCCGGAUUUACUGGGCGUAAAGGAUGCGUAGGCGGAUUUUUAAGUGAGAUGUGAAAUACCCGGGCUUAACUUGGGUGCUGCAUUUCAAACUGGGAAUCUAGAGUGCGGGAGAGGAGAAUGGAAUUCCUAGUGUAGCGGUGAAAUGCGUAGAGAUUAGGAAGAACACCAGUGGCGAAGGCGAUUCUCUGGACCGUAACUGACGCUGAGGCAUGAAAGCGUGGGUAGCAAACAGGAUUAGAUACCCUGGUAGUCCACGCCGUAAACGAUGAGUACUAGGUGUAGGAGGUAUCGACCCCUUCUGUGCCGCAGUUAACACAAUAAGUACUCCGCCUGGGAAGUACGAUCGCAAGAUUAAAAAGCUUUAAAGGAAUUGACGGGGGUCAUAGCUGUUUUCCU
rnacentral:rRNA from 1 species